GACGAACGCUGGCGGCGUGCCUAAUACAUGCAAGUAGAACGCUGAAGGAGGAGCUUGCUUCUCUGGAUGAGUUGCGAACGGGUGAGUAUCGCGUAGGUAACCUGCCUGGUAGCGGGGGAUAACUAUUGGAAACGAUAGCUAAUACCGCAUAACAGUAGAUAUCGCAUGAUAUCUACUUGAAAGGUGCAAUUGCAUCACUACCAGAUGGACCUGCGUUGUAUUAGCUAGUUGGUGAGGUAACGGCUCACCAAGGCGACGAUACAUAGCCGACCUGAGAGGGUGAUCGGCCACACUGGGACUGAGACACGGCCCAGACUCCUACGGGAGGCAGCAGUAGGGAAUCUUCGGCAAUGGACGGAAGUCUGACCGAGCAACGCCGCGUGAGUGAAGAAGGGUUUCGGAUCGUAAAGCUCUGUUGUAAGAGAAGAACGAGGGUGAGAGUGGAAAGUUCACACUGUGACGGUAUCUUACCAGAAAGGGACGGCUAACUACGUG
rnacentral:rRNA from 1 species